rnacentral:rRNA from 1 species
CAGCCGCCACGGUAAUACGGAGGAUCCAAGCGUUAUCCGGAAUCAUUGGGUUUAAAGGGUCCGUAGGCGGUCUUGUAAGUCAGUGGUGAAAGCCCAUCGCUCAACGGUGGAACGGCCAUUGAUACUGCAGGACUUGAAUUAUUGGGAAGUAACUAGAAUAUGUAGUGUAGCGGUGAAAUGCUUAGAGAUUACAUGGAAUACCAAUUGCGAAGGCAGGUUACUACCAAUUGAUUGACGCUGAUGGACGAAAGCGUGGGUAGCGAACAGGAUUAGAUACCCCUGUAGUCCCUGUCUCUUAUAC